rnacentral:rRNA from 1 species
AGAGUUUGAUCCUGGCUCAGAACGAACGCUGGCGGCAGGCUUAACACAUGCAAGUCGAAGGAGAAGCGGGACUUCGGUCCCGUGGAAACUGGCGCACGGGUGAGUAACGCGUGGGAAAUUACCUAGUGGUUCAGAAUAACCGCGGGAAACUGCGGCUAAUACUGAAUACGCCCCGAGGGGGAAAGAUUUAUCGCCACUAGAUGUGCCCGCGUCGGAUUAGCUUGUUGGUGAGGUAACGGCUCACCAAGGCGACGAUCCGUAGCUGGUCUGAGAGGAUGAUCAGCCACACUGGGACUGAGACACGGCCCAGACUCCUACGGGAGGCAGCAGUGGGGAAUAUUGGACAAUGGGCGCAAGCCUGAUCCAGCCAUGCCGCGUGAGUGAAGAAGGCCCUAGGGUUGUAAAGCUCUUUCACCGGGGAAGAUAAUGACGGUACCCGGAGAAGAAGCCCCGGCUAACUCCGUGCCAGCAGCCGCGGUAAUACGGAGGGGGCUAGCGUUGUUCGGAAUUACUGGGCGUAAAGCGCGCGUAGGCGGCUUGCCAAGUUGGGGGUGAAAUCCCAGGGCUCAACCCUGGAACUGCCCUCAAAACUGGUUCGCUAGAGUCCGGGAGAGGUGAGUGGAAUUCCCAGUGUAGAGGUGAAAUUCGUAGAUAUUGGGAAGAACACCAGUGGCGAAGGCGGCUCACUGGACCGGUACU